AAAGGAAUUGACGGGGGCCCGCACAAGCAGCGGAGCAUGUGGUUUAAUUCGAAGCAACGCGAAGAACCUUACCAGGGCUUGACAUCCCUCUGACUGGUAUAGAGAUAUACCUUUCCUUCGGGACAGAGGAGACAGGUGGUGCAUGGUUGUCGUCAGCUCGUGUCGUGAGAUGUUGGGUUAAGUCCCGCAACGAGCGCAACCCCUAUCUUUAGUUACCAGCACGUAGUGGUGGGGACUCUAGAGAGACUGCCGGGGAUAACUCGGAGGAAGGUGGGGAUGACGUCAAAUCAUCAUGCCCCUUAUGUCCUGGGCUACACACGUGCUACAAUGGCCUGAAACAAAGGGAAGCGAAGCCGCAAGGCGGAGCAAAACCCAUAAACCAGGUCUCAGUUCGGAUUGUGGGCUGCAACUCGCCCACAUGAAGUCGGAGUUGCUAGUAAUCGCGAAUCAGCAUGUCGCGGUGAAUGCGUUCCCGGGCCUUGCACACACCGCCCGU
rnacentral:rRNA from 1 species